rnacentral:lncRNA from 1 species
GCAAGUACCAAGGAGCAUCCCAAGCCGCCUGCUUAUUCCAACCUAUCCCCCUUCCACACCCUCCCCUCACAGGCGGGCACAGCGGACAAGUGGAGAAUCAGACGGCGACCAUCUUCCUGAGAGGAUUCAAGCCUCCAUGGGGAAGUUUUAUUUGAUCUCAAAUUUUGUGAGUUCCAAGAAUACAAGAUAGGUCUUGUUUCAGAAUCAAAUCCAACCCAAAGUGCCAUUUGGGCUAUUUAAAUUUUGGAUUUUUCAUGAUAGUCCCCUCAAUCACUGCAGAGACUCUAAAAAGUGCUAUAUAAUAUUUCACAAUGAAUUUAAUUGUUACUUCUGCUUCAUUCUAUAAAUAUUAGAAGUUCACAACCCUUCAGGGUGGUAGGGCAAUUAUCUAGUAAGAAAAAUUGGUUUGAGUGGGGCAGAGUGUAGAUGAGUUAAACCAAUUAGCAAUUCAAACUGUUUCACAAAUAAUCCAGAGGGCCUGGGGAUUUAGCUCAGCGGCAAAAGCGCCUGCCUGGCAAGUGCAAGGUCGUGAGUUCGGUUCCCGGUACCGGAGAAAAAAC